CCUACGGGAGGCAGCAGUGGGGAAUAUUGGACAAUGGGCGCAAGCCUGAUCCAGCCAUGCCGCGUGUGUGAAGAAGGCCUUCGGGUUGUAAAGCACUUUUGUCCGGAAAGAAAAGCAUUGGGUUAAUACCCCGAUGUCAUGACGGUACCGGAAGAAUAAGCACCGGCUAACUUCGUGCCAGCAGCCGCGGUAAUACGAAGGGUGCAAGCGUUACUCGGAAUUACUGGGCGUAAAGCGUGCGUAGGUGGUUUGUUAAGUCUGAUGUGAAAGCCCUGGGCUCAACCUGGGAAUGGCAUUGGAAACUGGCUUACUAGAGUGCGGUAGAGGGUAGUGGAAUUCCCGGUGUAGCAGUGAAAUGCGUAGAUAUCGGGAGGAACAUCUGUGGCGAAGGCGACUACCUGGACCAGCACUGACACUGAGGCACGAAAGCGUGGGGAGCAAACAGGAUUAGAUACCCUGGUAGUCCACGCCCUAAACGAUGCGAACUGGACGUUGGGAGCAACUUGGCUCUCAGUAUCGAAGCUAACGCGUUAAGUUCGCCGCCUGGGAAGUACGGUCGCAAGACUGAAACUCAAAGGAAUUGACGG
rnacentral:rRNA from 1 species